GAUGAACGCUAGCGACAGGCUUAACACAUGCAAGUCGAGGGGCAGCGGGGAGGUAGCAAUACUUCCGCCGGCGACCGGCGCACGGGUGAGUAACACGUAUGGAACCUGCCCGUAGCAGGGGGAUAAGCGGAAGAAAUUCCGUCUAAUACCGCGUAAUAACUCCGAGAGGCAUCUCAUGGAGUUUAAAGGGUAACACCGGCUACGGAUGGCCAUGCGGCGCAUUAGCUAGUUGGCGGGGUAACGGCCCACCAAGGCGACGAUGCGUAGGGGUUCUGAGAGGAAGGUCCCCCACACUGGUACUGAGACACGGACCAGACUCCUACGGGAGGCAGCAGUGAGGAAUAUUGGUCAAUGGGCGCGAGCCUGAACCAGCCAAGUCGCGUGAGGGAAGACGGUCCUAUGGAUUGUAAACCUCUUUUGUCGGGGAGCAAAAGACGCCACGCGUGGCGUUCCGAGAGUACCCG
rnacentral:rRNA from 1 species